rnacentral:lncRNA from 1 species
UUUUCUUUGUUUUAUUUGGUUUUUAUUUGUUCCUUUUCCGGUAUUCUUAGUUUCUUCAUUGAUUUUUCUUCGGGUUUCUCCUUUUUCUUUUUCUUUCUAUUUCUCUGGUUUCUUUUAUUUUCUUAUAUUUCUUUGGUUUUUACUAUUCUUUGUUUUCUCUUUAACACACAUCUACAUUUUUCAUACACACUAGUACAUUUUACGCAUGCACCAAAAACAUUUGCUUGUACAAGUUUAAUAUUUUUAAAUACAUGAUUAAUAUUUAAAAAACAAUUUUGUGAACAAAUUGUACAUUUUUGUUAUAUAUCAGGAACAUUUUUAAUACGUGUUUCACAUUUUUUUCAAUAUAUGAUUAACAUUUUUAUAUACAUGAUUAAUAUUUUUUUUGAAAAUUUAUGUUUUAAAGUUCAGUUUUUUAAUUAAGGCCCUAUAUUUUUCUUACACCUGAAACAUUUUAUUUUAUACGUUUAACAUUUUUGGAAUAGAUGAUUAAUUAUUUUUCCAAUAUUUUUGUUUCAUGACUACUUUUUGUACACAUGUACAUUUUUUGUAUACAUCAGGAACAAUUAUAUGCACCUCUAACAUUUUGGAAAUAUAUGAUUAACACUUUUUUUAUACACAAUCAACAUUUUUAGAAAUUUAUGUUUUAAUAUUCAAUUUUUUCAAUACAUGUUCUAUAUAUUUUGUAUAUAUUAGAAUUUUUUUUACAAGUUUUACGUUUUUAAAUAGAUGAUUAGCAUUUGUCAGAAACAUAUAUUUUUGGAUUUUUAGUCUUUUCAAUACACAUCAUACAGUUUUUGUAUACAUGUGAAUCUUUUUAUAUACAUGUUUAAAUAAUUUUAAAUAAAUGGUUAAAAAAUUAGAAACAUAUUCUUUUGUUUAUCUUUUUCCAUGUCCGUCGUACAUUUUUUGUACACAUAAAAAAUCAACAAAUAUUUAAAAAAAUUAAAUGCAUUCUUAAUAGUUUUUGUCGAAAAUGUAUGUAAAAUAUUUACAAAUUUGAAAGUAUAAACAAAAGUAAAAAAAUAAAUCAAAAACGAAAAAAAAGUGAAAUGAAAACUGAAAACAAACGAGGCAGUGGACUCCGCACGCCUGGGCUGUCCAGUGUGGCGUUCCCCUCACGCGAGGCUACCAUCGAAGUCCCGUACACAUGUGUGUAUGGUGUGCGGAGCUGACGGUAGCUGGAGACACUCGCUUUUGGAAUGCAUAAUGUCUAGAAGCGUAUGGGCGCUAUCGAGCGAGGAGCUAGUGCAGCAUAUAUGCAUGAACAAAGACGAUGAUGCCAAGGGCUGGUAUUCGCCAUGAGCGAUUCGCUGCCAUUGGAGGAUUUUACUACACUGAUCACUACCCUUUGGGCGAUAUGGCAACGCUAGACGGAAGAUAAUUUAUGAAGGAGUUUUGCAGACGCCCUAUGCUACACAGGCUUUUAUUGGAAGGUUUCUUUCAGACCUUUAGUGCUUGUUCAAGCCGGCCCAGGUAGUUCGUACAGCAGGUUCACCUCGACCAACCAACUGGAUUCCCCCGGCUGGAGAUCACUUCAAGAUUAACACUAAUGCUGCGGUGUCAAGAUGGGGAGGUAAGGGGGCUGUAGCAGCUAUAUGUCGUGAUGAACAAGGUAACUUUCUUGGAGCCUCUUCGGUUUUGGUCAACAAUAUAGAAGAUCCGGAGACUCUAGAAGUGAUGGCGAUCAGAGAAGCUAUGGCCUUAGCAAAUGAUCUAUAUAUAUCCAAAAAAAAUCGGUGGCAUCGGACUGUAAGAUUGCGGUCGAAGCAGUAAGAAAAGGAACCUCUUCAUUUUAUGGAGCGAUUGUGCUGGAGAUCAAAGAGACAUUUAGAGCUUUUAUUUCUUGUAUUUUCUUACAUGAGUUUAGAACCUUGAAUAUCGAGGCACACAAGCUAGCAAAGCAUACACUAUCGCUAAAGACCGGUCGUCAUGUUUGGUUAGGUCCCCCGACAGACUUUUUUUCGUCCAUGUAAACCGUGUGACUGUUGAAUAAAAAACUUUGCGAGUUUGCCUUGAAAAAAACCAUCGAAGUCGCGUGGAGUAGCCGCGCCCAGGUACAGCCCCUGCCCGUCCACAACAAACCUACGGAAAUGUUAACGCCCACACGUGUGGGCGUUCACCACUCCGUCCACACGCAAGCAUCGCCGUUGGUUUCGUUUUGCACGAAUCUUGGAGCAAAAGGGCUGGUUUUCGACGCCACGUUGGACGAUUCUAGUGUGCGGUGUGCGAGUGGGUUCGCCCGCACGGUAGUUGCCAUCCCGCGGUCAGCGGUUGCCACUGAGAGGCGUGCAGUGGAACUGCCAUGCGCCCGCACGCCACGGUCCGACCGCAGUUGACGUCAAACACGUCGCACACCCCUCCACCCUCUCCCUCACGGUUCCAUUCACUCUCCCCCGCGUCGCAUUUACUGGCACAACCCACUCGCAUUACAGUCCACUGGAGGAGAAGGCGAGGGGAGAAGGCGACGGCGGAGGCGGGACAGUCGACGGUGUUCGCGGGCGUUGGUGGUGCUCGUCGGAGCGGAGCGGCGUCGCCGGAACGCGCGCAGGUCGAAGGCAAUGCUCGCUUCAUCUAUCGCAUACCCUCCCUGAUUUUGUUCCCCUCUUUCCUCCCUGUUAGAUUUCUAGAUCCAUUCCUAGAAAUCCCGGCGAUUCGGUGGUGCGCCGGCGUUCCCGCCGCUGCGGCGGUGCACCAUAGUUGUGUGCCUGCCGUUGCUUCGUGGGAGUGGGCAGUUUCGUCGCCGCCGCUGCGGCGGCAUCAUCGGUGAGGCUAUGCCUGCUCGUUGGCAACGCAUUAGUCUUGCAUUUGGAUUUUGAGAGUUGUCCGCCGGGUUGUUUUGGUGCGGAUUGGUUCGAAAUUUGGGGUUGCAGCCAUUUCGCGCGAGAAUUGUAAGGGUGAUUUUGAGGUUGAAGCAGUUGCCAUUGAAACCUAGAUCUAGUCUAGUUUUGGGGUUGAAACUGCAGACUGUGGCGAAAUUGGCAGUAUGAUUGAACGUGAAACAAAUGUGCGGCAACUAAACUACCUGAAGAAACGUGGUAGUUGCCACAAACGUGUUCUCCCAUGUGGCAACAGAUUUCCGAAAAUGACUGUCAUAGUUGCCACCCCAAAACGAGGUGGCAACUAAUUUCAUUGAACUCCUGUGGCAGUUGCCACACGCAUGCUCUUCCCAUGUGGCAAAUUUUAAUUCUGCUGAACUUGUACGAUAAGUAACCAGAAAAAAUAUGCUUUCUGAAUGUGGCAACUAUGGCAGUAUGACCGAACGUGAACAGGUGUGUGGCAACUAAACUACAUGAACAAAUGUGGCAGUUGCCACAAAUGUGUUCUCUUCUGCGGCAACAUAUUUUUGGAAACUGACUGUCAUAGUUGCCACAAAUGUGUUCAAGCUCACACACAAGGGGGGCAACUAAAAUUUACUGAAUGAAUGAGAUAGUUGCCACAUACACGCUCUUGAACGAGGCAAACUGAUUUUUUACUGAAUUUACAUAAUAGUAACCUCAAACAUUCUUUUUCAUUUGUGAGACUUGUUUUUUUUCUGAAUUAUUUGCGACAGUUUCCAAACUUUGAUAGUUGCCACAAUCGGUAGCACUGGACGGAACUAAUGUGCACAUCGAGUUGGCGUGUUUGCCACUUUUGGAUUUUGUAUAAUCAUGUUGCAAUACAGUAUGUGAAUAUAAUGUCUGUUGCCACAAUACAGAUAUGACAGUGUGGCAAACUGGCUGCAUAGUAUGGCAACCACAUUUGCAUUCAAAUAGUUAAUAUUUUUCUGUUAGGUGGCAACUGCUUACCCAUUUCAUUUUACAUUUUCGCCAUUAACAAUUUGGUCUGUUCCUACAUCAGCAUAAUGGCUCGUGGCGAUCAUCAAAGUGAUGAUGACGAUUUCAUGGAUCCACCUCAACGUAACCAGGCAACUGGACGGAGAAAAGAGGGCGAUGAGGUAACUGUCCGCACACCCGCCCCCCUCCUCCUGAUUUAUGUUAUUUGUUGGCAGCUAGAUCUUUUUUAUAGUCGUCCAUCAUGAACUAAAUUUUCAUAACAUUGCAAAAACAUGGCAACAGCUCAACACUUUUGUGUUUGUUUUUUGCAGAAGAAGAAACGUAUUCGCAACAGAGCCUCCCAGGAACGUCUGACCGUGUUGAUUGACAAAUUCACUGACGAUCAAAAGGGAGCUGCUGCUGAGAUGGGUAUGCAGGUUCUGAUGGAUGUCCGGUGUACGAACCUUGUCAACCCGGUAUGCGACUGGCUUGGUGAGAUAUACGAUCCCGCCUCCAGGGAAUUCGUGAUCCCGGGACGGGGAAGACUUCCAUUGAAUGAGGAAUCCGUGUUCUGCACUUUGGGUGUGCCUCGGGGACAUAUCAAAGUCCCGUACGAGGUUAAUAAUGAGAUCGAGGAAGAGCUGUUCGCCCGUUUGUUUCCUGGGUUGGAGGCAAUGCCGAACACGUCUGUACUAGCAGAUUCUCUGCAGGACAUGACGACGCACGGAGAAGUUUUCAAGAUGAAGCUACUCAUGUACCUCAUCUCAGCUGUUUUCGCGCCGACCACUUCUCUUCGCCCAAGCAACAAAUGUUUCCCCAUCCUGGUGAAUGAUCCAUGCUUGCUACUGCCAGUGUUUUCGUUGCGUUUCUUCCCUUUUGAUUUCUGACGCGGCAACCUUUUUUGCCCUGAAAUUUUGUGUGGUGCAGGCGAAUCUAAAAAACGUGAAGAGUAUGAACUGGUGUAAGUUUAUUGCCGACUUUCUCCACGAUGUUUUCAAAAACAAGAUGUACCAGAAGGGUUGUCGUCUGCACUUAAUGGUAUUUUUUUUCACCAGAUCUCUGUGUGAACUCUUUGUUUAUAACGUACUUUUUAUUUCAUGCAUGACAAUCUGGUCAUAACAAGAUGGCAACUGCCAUAGUGACAAUGUGGCAACUGCCAUAAUGACAACGUGGCAACUGUCAUACUGACAAUGUGGCAACUACCUUCAUAUUAGCAUGGCAACUGCUAUCACAGUAGGAUGACAACUGCCAUCACACUUUGAUGGCAACUAACACAUACAUAUUAUCGUUGGAUCAUACAUUAUCCUGCUCUUUUUUUUCUGAACUACAAAUUAACCACGAUGGCAACUGAUAUUUUUUUUUCUUUGCAAAAUUGUUUUAAAUCAGCUCAUGUAUGUCGACUGUCUUGAUCUGUCCACCGUGGAUUUCACCGGGAUAGGAGGCCCGCCGCCUACUCACAAGUUUACCGUUUCUGCGUGGACCAUCAGCACUGUCAAGGCUGUGCUUGCCGCAGACAGGGCAACUGAUGGCACAUAUGGAAAACUACAGGUUAGUUUUUGUUUAUGUCUUUUUCACACGGCAUGCUUACAAAUUUGACACGACGCAACCGUCCGUGGUUUAUAAGGCAUGCUCACAAUUUCUUUUUUUGUUUUUCAUAGCUGAUGGCCAAGCAUGCUAUAGACUACAGCGUGUUUGGGGGGCCUCAAAAAUUUGAAAAGUGGAUGGACGUGCACUCAGCUCCGUCUUGCCCUUCUGAGGUAAUCAAAAUGUCCACAUCUACGGUUUGCCGUGGAUUACGUGUUGAUGUCGCGGAAGCGAAUGCAGUACGGGCGUUGUUUUGUUGAUGCUUCUUGUUUUCGUGCACAGGCGAGGGCACCAGUGGAGCAUCUAAUUAGGCAGUUUGCAUCCGGAAUGACCGGCCUGCUCGGGAAGUUAGUUGAGGGGUGGACGUCCCUCAGUGCCUCUGACAGCGACGCGGUUGCGAGGCAGUUCACUUCAUUUGUCCCAGAACGUACACAUCGGCCAACCGGUUGCCGUGGCCGGUAUGACUACAACAGCUCCCAAGAGCCCGGUGACACACAGGAUGAUGUGGAUGGAGACGCUGGCCUCAGCAAGGACGACGACGAUGACACCGAUGGCGAUGAACACGCUGAAGUUCGCACAUGCGGCAACAAGGGCAAGGAUGCAACAGGUGCCCACCCACCGGAGAAAGUGAAAAAACAUACGGCUGCGAGAGGCGAGGGGGUUUUGCCAUCAAGGAGGGGGAGGGCUCCAGAGGAUGUUGGGCAGGGUUCUGCUGGCAAGAGGUCUAGGAUCGAUCCCGUAGCUGCCAGGAAGAGGUUCGACUCUCAAUUUUAGUUUUCUGCUGUGUAUCUCUUCUUUGGAAAAAUCUCAUCCAUUUCUUUUGCACUUAUUUUUUGUCAAGCGCGGCAAUUAGUUUGUUGUCUGACAAUUGCCACCUUCUUUUUUCCUUCCAUCUAUUGCGUGCAGUGAGCCGACCGCUGGUGGACGAGCAGCUACGAAGAAACAGGCGCCAACGCCAACCCGUGUUUCUGCUCGCUUGAACAAAGGUGCCCCCAUUGCCGGUGACAUCCCUUCCACCAGGUCUUCUGCUCGUACGACGACGACCAACACCGGGGAUCCUGUCGUGUUGCCUGACCUGAGGAAGGCAGUCAAGAAGUAGGUUUCUCCAUGUGCUUUUCAUUUGAGAUAGCGGUUUUUUUCUUGAUUUUUCAAUGCAACUGGUCUGCUUUUGUCACAUGUUCUUCUGUUAUCAUCCCCCACGAGGCAACUGCUGUUUUUUCCAAAUGAUUUCUUCCUUCAUUUUUUAAAUGUAUGGCAACUCCUAUUUAUCUUUACAUGGCAACUGGCAUCUAGGCCAAAUGGCAACUAUUUCUGUACCUAAUGGCAACUAUCAUCUUUUUUUUACCAUUUUCUUCUGAGAGUUCAUCCCCCACCUAAUUUUGAAAUUGCAUUCCUCACAGAUCAGACAUUUCUAUCAUUCCUUUCAAUUUGCCUAACUUUGACAACUGCUGCUGUAUGGCAACUGCUAACUAUGGCACAUGGCAACUCAUGACCCCCUUACAUGGCAACUACCAGCUUUUUCCACUUGUUUUUAGUUUUUUAAUGCUUCUAUCAUUGCAAACAUAUUUUUUUGUUCAUUUUUUUCAUACCAUUUUUCACGUGCUUUUUUCCUUCGCAGGGUGAAGAAGACUACUACGCGCGGGGCCAAGCAUAUCAGUAGAGACCCACUCGAACGCCUGCAUUCAAAGUUGUCAACAGGUGGCAACUCAGAUGUACAUGAGGCGCCAGGCGACAAUACUGCUGCUGCACCGUCAACUGCUCCCACUAACUCUGAUGCAAGUGGCCGACCAUCUCCGCCGGCUGCAGAUGUGCAGGCUAGAACAACAGGCAUCCGUACAUCGGGGAGUGACGAGUCGGUAUCCGCCAGGACAGCUGAAAUAUUGCCAACUCUUCUGGCAAUGAAGGAUGCUGCUGUGAGCCAUGCCACCCCAUCAGCAAGCGUCGAAGUGGAUGCUCCCGAGACCAACCUAGGCAAGGAAGAUUCCCGCUCAUCUGACACUGAUUCCAAGCGCGUGCCUGGUGUCUCACCUGUGUCCAUGACAGAAACGGCUGAGGCGGCACUUCACAAGGAUAUGCCAUCUGCAUAUGAGAAUCCUGGCACAACAGCUCCAACUCCUGUCGGUGGAGAUACUGCUAAGGCGACCGUUUCGCGUGCUGGUCUUCCACAUAGGCGUCGUAGCCCCCGCAAGCAAUCAACAGACAUACCCAACGCUCCGGCUGUAGCUAGGAGCAGGAGAGACGAAUCUGGUUAUGUUCCUGCGUCCACACUGUUCCCGCCACCUGCAAAAAUCAAUGUGAUGGAGAAACCGCAAGACCGGAGCACACCUGAUGCAGGUGUCAAGCCGGGCACGAGUGACGCAGAGGAACGCCCGGAGCAGACUGUGCCUUCACCCGCAGCGGAAAUCCCCAGCAUAAAUCUGCGCACUUCCAGGCUCCCAGUCAAUGUCGGUGUCUCCUACAGUCCAAACAAGAAGAUUGUCAUGAAAGCUGCGGCUGAGACCGCUGACAACACGCCCCGCCCUGCAAACAAGGCCGAUCAUUUUGUAGCGGCCGAUUCAGAUAUGUUUGUCGAUCUUUCACCCUUGGAUUCUGCCCCGAAAGUCGUUCGUGGUCCGGCCAGUAGGAAUGAGAGGCACCCAAUGGCCUUUACCCCACCGAGCUUCAGCCUUGGCGUCAGUCAAGAUCAACCGGUGGUGAACGAUCCUAUACCAGUUGCCUUUGCUUUCCCAGGAGGCAUGCCCGCAAUGAUGGCGCAGCCAAUGGUCGAGGGCAGGAAGGCUGUCAAGUUCGCAGAGCCAAUUGUGCAAGGUACACUCAUCACGCACUUACGAUUUUCUUGUAUACAUGUUUGUAGUUUGACUUUUGUCCCAAUCACAUUCUUUGGGGGUCCUCACUUGUGACGGCAACUGCCAUGUGACAACAUGGCAACUGGAUUUGAUGCACCAUGUCACCUACGUUUUUUUCUUGCUGCCAUGCUGCGUUUGACAUUUGGGCAAGCACGUGGCAACUGAAGUUAUUUCAACAUGGCAACUGUAGUUGCUGUCACAUGGCAAAUACUGUUCAGUACACAUGGCAACUGGAUUUGCCACAUCAUGCCACCUGCAUUUUUUCUACCAUGCUGCAUUUUUUCAUACGGCAUUCACAUGGCAAGUGGAGCCGACACAACAUGGCAACUGCAGUUGCUGUGACAUGGUACAUACAGUACAACUAGGUGGCAACUACAGUGCAACUACAUGGCAAUUGUAUUUGCUAUGUCAUAGCGACUGUAGUUGGACCACCCAUGGCAACUGCCCCACUUUUUCUACCUACAUAUCACAUCAUGGACCUUUAUCUCCUCACAAUCCAUCUGUUUUUGGAUUUUAUAUGUAUCCUAACCCACUUUUUUUUAUAUUCAUUGCAGCCACCCCUGAGGAGAUUUCACCGUCACUUGAUGAAGUUUACCGCAUGAUCGAGAAGACAGCAUUGCAGAGGAGUUCCUCACGGGGGCAAGGGCAAUCAAGUUCCAAUGUGCCUGCAGAUACGGUAUCUGAGGAUACCAUUAGGAGUGUCACCCCUAGUCCUGUGAGGCAGCAGAGGGUAGUUCACCCACCCCCCGCGGAAGACUAUGAGCCCGAAUUCAGGGCCACUAAGGAACAGACCCAGCUGUACGAUAUCGUCAAGCGUUUUGGAAAUGCGAGGACCAACAGCAAGCACAUGAAGGAGCUGAAAGUGUAAAUUACCAUACCCCAUAAUCUCUCAUCUUGCUUGCUCUUUUUUUACCAUUUAUCUACUUCGUACUUUUUAUAAAUGGUCCGCUUACGUUUUAGUUCUUUCAUAUAUAUUUUUUUACUUAGUAGGCAUGAUUCUUCCAUGCUAUAUCGUUUUCAUACAGCUCAUGUUUGGACAGAACGAAAGUCAUUCAGUGCGGAGCGACGUACGUCGACCUGGGUGAUCUUGCCGAGUCCGUGAGGCCAAACGGAAAAAUGUCGAUGAAUGUAGUUGCAUGCGGGAUCGACUACAUCAACAAUCACACCGAUGUAUGCGCCGACAAGAUAAUCAUGCAUUACAGUGUGACCUGCAAAAUAUGGGAUGGUGACUUCCACCACAAAAUCCUGAGGAACAAUUUUGCACAACACGAUGACUUCAAGCUCACACUGAAGAAAUAUGUGAGUACUCCUUUCUUGUCUGCACCGUUUUUUCACAUGGCGUGGUUUUUUGCCAGAACCUGUACUUGUGUUUGUGUGGCAGAAGUUUUUCAUGUGGCAACAGUUGCCGUGCACACUGACUUCUUGAUUUUUUGUAUCCCCAUGCAAACUAUGUGGCAACUUGAUAGUAAAAUACAUGGCUCAUUUUGUUCAUACAAUGGACGGCAACUUUCUUUUCAACUACUCCCACCCAUAAUCAAACAUUCUACGUGAUUCUAAUUUUUUUGUCCCUCUGUUGUUCUUUCAUGUGAACUUUGUAUCUCAUUUCUUCACUUUUUUAAAUGCAGGUCAUGUUCCCCAUGUUCCAGGAGCUUGCACCACACGACCGACACGACAAGUGUGGUCACCACUAUGCGGUCUGUCUUGACCUGAAGAACCAACGUAUCGAGGUGCUUGAUUCAAUCCGUUCGGAAGCUGAUGCAGACCUUACUACGCAUGCCGAAUUAUUCAUCAAGAACCUCAAAGAGACUUGGAACCGUCACUACGAACAUUCAAAGGUCCAGAUCAGGCAUUUCCCGACUGAGUAUGUGGCGACUGUGAAGCAAGGGAACACGUAAUUUCUUUUAACCCGCUCCUUCAUGUGCCAUUUUUACAUCAAUCCACCCCCUCUUUUUGUUGACACAUCUGAACUGAAGUCCAUCUUUGCUGCAGCUGUCCAUUUUUGCGUGUUCACCUGAACUCUUUUUCCUCGUGCAGGACGGACUGUGGCUUUCACGCGCUGGAAUACUUUGCAAAGUGGGAAGGCAGAAUUGUCCCCGUUAUCACAGAUGCAACGGUCGUUGAGCUCCGAAAAAUCUGCACAUGGAACUGGCUGACGAAUGAAGAUUUCAACAAGCGGUCCGGAGGACGCGAGUUCGUGGAGGAAGCUGUCAAGCAAGUCAUCAAGAAGUACAAGUGAUCACGUGGCGUUACACACCAGACGCACACCUUACAUUCUGUUGUUGAGGAAUGUAAGGUACUAUCUCUCUGUUCUUUGUCGAAAACUAUGUUUUGUGUGCUACGUUAUGACUGCAACCUCGUGUAGCCUACUAUGUAAUGGUGGCGUGUUAGCGACAUUUUUAGUGUUUUCUGUAAUACAUGUGUGGAUGUGAACCUAUUUUAGGCGUUACAUCAGAUCUGUUUUUAUGUUUAUCAUUACGACAGUGGUUUCGUCGUUUCUAGCAUUGUUUUUUGCUGUUUCGAAUGCGUCUGCGAUGUUUUCAAAAAAAAGAUGGCAAAUGUAGUUCAACAGACAUGGUUAGUGAAAGUCAUCGUCAUUUUUUCAUUUUUGGCUGUUUUGCUUGUUCUUUUUCAUCGCUAAUUGCACCGGCUAGCAUUGGGUAGGUUUAUCAUGUAGCCAUAACCUUUGCUGCGGUUUAUGCACGUUUACGCUUUUUUUCCAACCUGUUUUCCCAUACAUUGCACACAACACACUAUGUGCUUCUAAACCGCAUCGUAUUUGUCAUGGGGAUAUAUGCCAUGCAGAGUCAUUACAAAAAGCAUCCGGAAAUUUUCAGUACAGCUAACAUGGCAGAUACAUCAUAAAUAACAUGGCAGAUCCAGUACAACUUAUAUGGCAAAUCCAGUACAACUAACAUGGCAGAUCCAGUACAACUAACAUGGCAUAUUUAGUAUAAAGUAGCAUGACAUAUUUAGUAUAAAAUAGCAUGGCUUAUCUAGUAUAAAAUAGCAUGGCAUAUUUGGUACAAAAUAGCAUGGCAGAUUAACUACACAUAACAUGGCAGAUUAAGUACCCAUAACAUGGCAAAUGCAUUUAUCCAUUCAAUGAAUUUUCCUUCUACUUCUGUCCCCCCUCAAGAGUCAUUAUCCCAAUUAAAAAAAUCCAAUCGUAUAGGGGUACAAAACAAAAUGUCCACAUGGACCAUGUCACAGCGCCCCGAUUUUUGCUCAUUGAUUGCCCGCCCCUUUCUUUGUUUUCUUGUGUUUUGCUUGAAUCUCCAGUCCCGACUUGUACCUUAUCUCUCUCGGAUGACCCUUUGUGAUGGAACGGGGUGGGUUCCUGACCUGGGUUUGUGUGCUUGCUGUUCCAGAUCCUAUCUCCGAGUUUUCAGACGAUGGCCCCGUGGAUGAAGGCACACUUGAUGUGCGGGGGAACCGGUGUAAGGCUUCCUCGGCUUUCCUUUUUUUGAUCUCAUCAAGCUCUCUUUUCAGUGCCUUCCUGUAUUUUUCUGCGACUCUCGCUGUGUCAUCACUCUUGCACGCUUCAUCAAUUAGCUCAGCAUAGUUCUUUGUCAGCACAACGUGCCUCACGGCUUCCAUGGUUGACUCAGGUCUCUCGUCAUGCACAGCCAGAACUGCGUGUGUUGUCUGCGGCGCCAACGUGUCGUCAGCGUCCCAAGUCCAUCGCCUCCUUAUGAAAUGGCGGGGCAUGCGUGUCACAACGUUCAUGUCCAUGACUUUUAGUAUGUGACAGCACACAAUGCCGUCCCGUUCGAAUUUGCAGCAUUGGCAGUAGUACUCGCCUUCGCCUAUCGAGGCUCUAACGAAGUAGUUCCUUCCUUUGUCCGCGUCUUCAGGUUCUGAAUCUGACAUGCCCAAAAUAGAACACACCUUGAACGUAUGUUCGUCCACCCGGAAAGCCGUGAACAUGCUGGCACGCUUUACUUCUUCCUGGAAUCUGCAAGUUUUGUGUGUUUUCUGUUAAACUUUCGUGCGAUCUUUUUCUUGUACACCCUUAUGUUGUCAUGGAAAUAGAAAUACAUUUUGUUUGAACAUGGCAAACAUAGUUCAUUGAACAUGGCAAAUAUAUUACGUUGAACAUGGCAAAUGCAGUGCACUACACAUGGCAAAUGCAUUACAACAUACAUGGCAAUUGCAGUACAAUAGACAUGGCAAUUGCAGUACAUUUUCAACUGGAUAUCGUCAUUUCCACACCAACAUUCCCCAAUGGAAGCACAUUGCAUAAAACAUGGCAACUGCAUUUUUAUUAAACAUGCCAUCUAAAGCUGAGUAAACAUGUCAAUUGCAUUUCAAAAAAAAGGGCAGAUGCAUUUCAUUAAACAUGGCAACUGCAUUUCAGCAUAUGUGUCGCCAAUAUAACAUUUUUUUAGCAUUUUUUGACAUUGGCAUUUGCAUGCCAACAUGCUCCAAUGGAAGCACAGCGCAUAAAACAUGACAACUGCACUUCAUUCAACAAGGGAAAUGCACCCGAGCAAGUAUGCCAAAACAAAAUUUUCAUUUUAACAUGGCAACUGCAUCUGAGUAAGCAUGGCAAACAGUAUUUCAUUAAACAUGGCAGCUGCAUGUCAUGGCAACUGCAUUGCACUCUAUAAGGCCCCUACUGACUUGGUGCUUUUUAUGCAAAUAAGACUGUAAUGCAACUGACUUACUUGUUAAAGAUCUUGUUGGUGUAUAUCUUGCUCAUUUGCCUCUCCAUCGGUAAAUACGUUAGCAAUUUUGGCUGCUUUAGGGCUAUGGUCGCUUCUUGCUGUAGCUCAGAUCCCAGAAUUUUUUGUUGCAAAGCUGUGUACUGCUUGGCAAACUGUAGCAAUGAGUUGCCAGGGCUGACGUACCGCUUUAAAACAGCAUUGAACCCCUCGCUGCGCUGUGUAGUCUGCAGAAAGGGGAAGAAGCACUGCAUGAAGUAGGCAGGCACCCAGUACAUUCGCUUCUCCCACAGGCUAACAAGAGUCUCGUUGUCCUGGACUUGAUGUGUUUCAGUCAUGGCCAUCCAGCUCCUUUCAAACUCCUCCACCGUCAAGCUGUGGUCCACGCACAGCUCGAAUGCCUUGUGCAGCUCUGGACGGUCGGCAAAGAACGGUCCUAGCAUCUCCUCAGCCUUCUUUAUAAUGUGCCACCUGCAGUGCUUGUGCACUGCCAACGGAAAGACCUCCUCUAUGCCUGCACGCAUGCUGAAAUCUUGGUCCGUUAUUAUGUUCAUCGGAGCAAGUCCAUCCAUGCACUCCAAGAAGGUCUUGAACAGCCAAACGUACCCAUCUGUGUCUUCGUUCCGGACGAGGCCGCAUCCGAACUGCAACGACUGAUUGUGGUUAUUUAUUCCUAUGAACGGAGCGCAUGGCAUCUUGUACAUAUUGGUGAGGUACGUCGCGUCGAAUGAAAUGCAAUCUCGGAAAUGUUUGUAGGCUCUCCUUGCAGCACCAUCCACCCAAUACAUGUUCCUGACACGGUCCUCAUCGUCCAACCUUAUCCUGUAGAAGAAAUCUGGAUCUUCCUUUGCUUUCGCAUCGAAGUAGGCUAUUGUGGCCUCUAUGUCUGCCAACUUGCUCUCUCUAUGGUACUUGGCCUGUAGGUCUGUGACGUCAGCUGGUAUGUACGGUAUUGCUACUCAGAGUCCCCUUUUUGCUGUGGAUGAGAGAUAGUAUCUGUACCAUUCUUGAUGGACCGACGUUACAAUCAUGUAGCAGCUUUACGAAUUUCCUUUCGACGGGGGUGAACCCUCUGUGGGCGGUUAGAAAUUUCACCAGGUCGAACUUCUUUAUGAGUUUGUGGUUGUGCUCGUCUGACCACCCAUGUUGCUCCAUCUACGUUUAGCUUACACCGGACAGGGCACCCCGUCUUGAAAAUGAUGCCUCUCUUUCGUUCCGGAGCGACAGGCGCAACACCUUUCCCCUUCUUGUUCCUCCGUGCCUUGUGGCACCUCAUCUCACCUCUGCUGUACUCAUUAGUUUUCUUAAUUUUCCUAUGGUACUCGGUGUUGACCGCAAAUCCAUGGAACUUUGCGUAUGCCUGGUAGUAUUCCUUUGCUUCUGCGAACGAUCCAAAUCUCUGCCCAAUGUAUGGUGGCUGAGGUACCACGAUCUCGGAUUGCCCACCAUCUUCAUCCUCUUGUGCGUCGUCGUCAGUUUUAUCAUUCGCUUCAGUAUCGGCGGCAGUUCCAUCUACUCGAGUGUUGCUAGUGCUUGUGUUCAAAGGGGUGCUCGUCGGCAUUGCUGGAAUGAUUGCCAUUCCCGACUCUGAAUCGAAAUUGUUUGCGGCAUGACAGUCUGCUGGCUGGUGGAACGCGUCUUCCGUGCGCUCAGAGCUCCCCGCAGUAGAUGUCCCCGCACCGCUGUUCACUGUAGUUGUAGGUUCUGUAAUAGAAAAAGCAAGCACGAGAGUAAGAUUUUUUGGUUGAAUAAGAUGUGUACCACAACGGAUCACACCAUCUUCGAUUGAUUUGGCACGACAUAUUUUCAAACAGCAAGCCGUGAGACUGCGUGUGGACAUGUGUGGCAGCUGUAGCUGUCCAGUCAUGGCAGGUACUGUUCAACAAACAUGGCAACUAUUGUUUUGCCUACAAAAAACUACAAACAACAAAUGUAGUGAUGUUUUUUGUGGUUCAAUUUUUUUCCUUACCUUGUUGUGCUGCAUUUGGCCAUCUUGUGUGGUCUGUGACACCAAAAUGUCGUGCUCCACCUGCAAUUUGUGAAGCUUGCCACGGGACGAUUGCCGUGUCACCACCAGCGUAAUACGCUGUAAGCAUAGUAGUGGUUGGUCAAUUCAUGGCAAUUUGCAGUUUGUGCUAGCACGGCAACUGCAGUCGCCCCUGAUGUGGCAACUGCAGUUUUACUGGCAUGGCAACUAUAGUUGCAUCGGCAUGGCAACCGCAGUUGUUCCUCCAUGGCAACUACAGUUGCGAUGACAUGGCAACUGUAGUUGCUCUGGCAUGGCAACUGCAGUUGUUUCUCCAUGGCAACUGCAAGUGUCCACUGAUGGCAACAACAGUUGUUCAGGGAUGGCAAAUGUAGUUUUAAAUUCAUGGCAAUUGUAGAAGUCCAGUCAUGGCAAUUUGGAGCUGCCAACUAUGCCCCUUCUGCUAAUUGAACAUCCGCAACUUCACUUUUUUUAUGGACUGACCUGUGUAUAACGUCGAUGGCAGGUACAUGGGUGCUGGCUGAUGCCACGUGCUGCAUGAAGGCCCUGCAUUUUCACCCGUGAUAACUCGUGAGUCCUCUUGCCAGUUUUUUUGCAUGUCCAUUUUUCACGUCCACAGCAGUAUGUGUUUUUUUUUGGUUUUGCAUUACCUUGAUUAGCCAUACUAGCUAGUUGAGGUUGGUUGCCCGUAAAUAUGUCAGUGUUAGCGCCUUGUGACUGAACUUGCCAUGGGGCCCCCCUGAGAGUGUUUUGGUCAUAAGAACCUGCAAAAAAAAUGGGAGUGUAGGACAUAAGUAGAAUGUCAUCUUCAUCGUUGCGAAGUUGGCAACUGCUCUCUUCUUUUUGUUUCCACGCAUCAUACCUACGCCUGCAUACUGUUCUAGUAGUGGCAGCAACGGCCCUGCAGAGAUGAGUUGACUAUACUCUGCUGCAUCCCAAGGCGGUGUUUCUGGCCUUUGAGAACCCCAACCAUCAGCGCCACCUUCGCGAUUCAUCCUUUCCGCGUCUAGAUUCUUUUCCGACAUGUUCUCAAUCACUGGAUGAUCAAAAAGGCAUCAAUAAUCCACAAGAAUUGUAUUCUUCUGCUGCUUGCACAUGGAAGAUAGGGAUGGCAAGCAACAGGUCAAAAUAGGUGGCAAUUGUCAUCAUACACAAGCGGCAACUGUCGUUACACACCUAGUGGCAAUUAUUUUUUCCCACCCUCUUCAUUCAAAAAAUCGUCCUUCCUGCCCUUUUUUAGGGAUUCCUACUCAUCCAUUUCAUACCCAACUACUUAAGUGCCUAAACUAGGCACCUAAGUUAACCUCAAACGUAGUACAUGGCAGAUCUGGUGUAUUCUGCCUGGCAAUUGCGAAUAUACACCGAACCAUGCAGUGUUCUACCCCUAUAGUAUGGACCCAGUACAAGAUCGGGAGAUUUUCAGCCUUAAGGAUGAGAGGGAAGGACGAGAUCGAGAAUUUUUCACCUGGUUUUAGUUGAUCGUGUCUGGAGGGCUCGAUUGGAGUGGGCGGCUGGGGAUGGGAAGGGUUAGGGUGUAGUUUGGGGUCGGAGCGCCCUACGGAUCUGCCCUGGUUGCCAUGGCAACCAGGGAUGGCCGGCGACGGAUGUCGGGGUUCGAGAGGUGGGGGACGAUGGCGGCGUACGAGAGAGGGGAUGGAUCGGAGGCGUGGAUCGGCUGGGUCGUGCGGGCAGCCGGUCUUCUGGCCCGGACAGGGCAGUGCGGGCGGGGUUGCCACACACCGAACGUGCGGGCCGUGCUUUUGUGCGCUCGGACGUGGUCGUGCGGGCCGAUCCCCGUCUAUGCCGCACGAGGCGUGCGGGCGGGUUCUUAUCGACGCCAUACGUGUGGCAGUUAUUCGGACCCCAAACCUAUCAAAAAAAAAUCCACAACAAAGCUGAACAACCGUCUCACCGUUUCGGCCGCUGAGACCGGUCGUUCCUCCAGGAGCCUUGGGACCGGUAGGUAGGUGCUGAGCACGCGCGGCCUCGCAGGCUAGCAAAGCAGAGCGCCCUGGCCCUAGUUUCAAUGGCCCCACCCUCGCGCCAGGAGUCCGUCCGUUCGGAGUCCAUCUAUCUCUCGCACGCUUCCUCUCCUCCCGGCCAUGGCGGCGGCAGCGACGUCCUGCUUCGUCCUCGUCCUCGCGCUCUGCCUUCUCGGUCAGCUACACGCACAGUUGCUACGGCGUUGUAGUUAACUGACAUCGACGUUUCGCUCUGAUGCCUUAAUCGUGCGUGUGCAGUGUCCAUGGCGCUGAUGGCGGGGCACUACUACGGCCGGGCGGAGCUGGUCGCCGGCCCGGGCUGCUCGCGGCUCCUGCGGGCGAACCCGCUAUUGGUGCAGGACAUCACGGUGAGGACUGCGGAGGAGGAAGAAGGGUCGGGGGCGAACGGGCUCGUGCUCUACGGGCUCGCCGAGAUACCCGGCCUCGACGACGUGCCCGCGGUGUGGUCGGAGGCUCGCCGCGUCGUGCUGCCGGCCAACUCUCACAAGGUACACUGCCCCGCACUCGUGCUUCCGCCGUGUCAGAUGAUCGAUACUCAACACGCGUGAUUCAGAAGUUCAGACUAAGCUAUGUAUAAAAAUGGUGUGAACUAGAGCUACAUGUCUUGUGUAUAAACGCGCGCGCGCAUGCAGGAAUGGGUCUAUUUUCUGAACGAAGGUAGUCAGAUCGAGGUCAACUACAGCGUCGAGCCUGUAACUGGACUAACCAAUCCACUCCGGAUCACCAUUGCUCAAGGUAAUAGAGGGUUCUGAUUAAUAUCCUAAAGCUACUAUUAGUACUCAUGUGCUGAGAUUUGGAGCUUGCACAGUAGCAGGUAAGGAAGGCUUCACGCAGUGGUCAGAGGAACCAUCGGUAAACGGUAAGCAUGCACCGUCAGAGCCUCUGAACCGCAGCUAUGUGGUAACAUUACAAGAUCCUAACCUUGCCAAAUCACAGGAACCGGAGCAGUUAAGCAGAUCAUCGAUUCAUCCGACGACUACUACGUCACCGUCAGCAACCUGCGCGACCAAGACACAACGGUAACAAAGUUGUAGAGUGGCAUCCCAUCCCAUCCCAUGUUCGGCCGCCGGUGUGAUCGAUCUUGGCCUGUAACAGCAGUUGAGCGGACUACUGAUUUGGGUUUUCGGCAUGCAGGCGACGCUGGAUUUCAGGAUCAGCUCCGUGCUCUACAACACGAGCGGAGCAGAGUACGCGUGCUCGCCGUCGCCGGGCAGCUCCGGCUGCAUCUACACGCUGCCGAUACUUGGGGAGAACGUGGCCGUCCUGUCGUCUGGUCUGAAAGAGGUGAGGACAUACCUCUCAACAUUCAGCCACGGUACGGGCACUGUUGUGAGCUUCUGAGACUGGACUCUGACGAUGCAUGGGCAGGGCGUGAAGGUGGAGCUCUCGUACGGGCCGCGCUGGAUCAUCUACUUCGUCGGCUCAGGUAGGGCGCAAAUGCAACCUCAUCUCAGCCCGAUGAAAUCACGCCACUAAAAUGUGUAGCUGAAUGUUGUUGAUGCGUACGUGACGCAGCCAUCCUGGCGGUGGCGCUGCUGCUGCUGUACGAGGUGCUGAGCGUGCUGCUCGGGUUCUGCUGCGCCGUCGUGGCCGACCAGAGGACGACGACGACGGCCUCGUUGCUGGAGAGCAAGGAGGAGGAAGAGGGCGGGAGCCGGGGCUCGUCCUUCGAAUCAGUGUCCUCCCACGACGGCGAGGCGGGCGACGAGGAGGAGGGGCGGCGGCUGUGCGUGGUGUGCUGCGACGCCCGGAGGGACUGCUUCUUCAUGCCCUGCGGCCACUCCGCCACCUGCCACGCCUGCGGCACCAAGUACGUAUCUUACGCGCAGCUUUUCGUAUUCUGCCAUGGAAGGGUAUAAGAUCAUGGAGGUGAUGCUAGUGAUGUGUGGCAGGAUUGUUGAGGGAGAUGCUAGCUGCUGCCCGUUCUGCCGGAGGAAGCUGAAGAAGGUGAGGAGGAUCUUCUGCGUAUGAGCGACAUUCUGAUCUCAUGAAGGUUGGCUGGCUUGGCCUGUGAGGAACCAAGGAUGAACAUUUCUGACUGUGAGGGCCAAAAAAAAUCAUACCAAAAAUCGCCCACCGUGGGGCUCGAACCCACGACCACAAGGUUAAGAGCCUUGCGCUCUACCAACUGAGCUAGACGGGCUUGGUGAGCCGUAAAUAAUUAGUAGUUGGUUACUGUGACUUUCCGAUGCGAAGAGCGUAGAAUGGUGUUGACUACCUUGUACUAGCACUCUAUGACAGCCUGUCAGCGGUUGCUUUGACAUCACGGUGUUAUCAGUUUUUCUUUUAUGAUGAGCAUCGCGUGUUAUAUUCCAACUAAUAGAGUGACUCCAGUCAGAAGAAAUACACAUAGUUGCGAAAGAAAUUACAAGGGUGGACACCUAAGACAAGAGCCAAACACGAGACGAAAGACAGAAAACGGAGUGGGAAACUGACUGAAGAAGUCAAACCAAAAUGGAGCGGCUACACGUCAGUCGAUUAAAAAAAUUUUAAGGGGUUAGUCGAUUUUCAUCUUUCAAUCUCCAUCGUUGGAUCUUGAUCAAACGCCCAGAACUUUAUCUUCAACCUCAAACUUGAUCUGUCCUGAGCCGCCGGCCUAACCACCGGUCCCCACCCUCCCCGAAACCACCCCUACCGUUGGUCUUCCGCCGCCCCUGGCCAUACCUCCCCCUUGCGCCGAGUUUUUUCUCUAGCAAAGCCCCACACCAUCACCCCCACCUUAAACCCUAAGAUAGAUACUGGGGUAGCCUCUCCGGCGAGCCCCCGCUGCGACUUUUUCUUCCUUCCCUCUGGCGCCUCAUUUCUUCUAGGGAAAAUCGACUGACCCAAAUCGGAUCUUCAGCUGACUGGAGUUUAGCUAAACUGAACCAAUAUAUCUAACAGCUGACACCUCGGGAGCGAUCCACGACAGCACAUGCAGAAAUGCACAUCAAGAACCUUAUUAGGGAAAUGAUAUUCCGUUGGUCGGGAGAGGCAUGCUGAAAGUGCUAGAAUCACUGAUGGAUAUGUUAGAUCUAGUUGUGGAUUAGAAUGCACAUACAUUCUGCUUGAUGUAUAGGAUGGUUAGACGAGUGUCGUCGUCCAUACUCUUCGUGGUUGAUGACACUAUGCCACAGCGACAAAAGAACUUGGGAUGCGACCCUGUCAAUGUUCGAUCGACGUUGUCUUUGCUAUGUCUCUAUUGGCGGGAUUCGGUCUUCAAAACCCAUUAGGUGAUAGGAGUUUAUUAGGUGCUUAUGGUGUGGCUUUUUCUUUUUCUGUGAUGGAGGUGCUUAUGGUUGUUGUUGGUCACUUUUAUGUUUUGCAAUGAUGGAUGCUCUCUUCAUUUGUGAUUGUUCCCUUGCAUGAAUCAGAUUUAAAAUUCCCUAGGGUGUUUCCUCUAAACAUAGACAAUGAAUCUCAUGAGCUCCUCACACUAGCUAUUACCCCUCUCAACAUAUCUUAGUCUUUUUUCUGCGAAAAGGCGCCUUAUGAAAAGCAAUGCCUGGGAGGUCAUCAACGUAGACCAGAAGGUGCCGACGACUGCGAUGUGUGUAGCAAAUCGUCGCUCGGAGAAGAAGACGCUAAAAAGAGCCUAUAGAUACUCCAAAGACCACAAACGCCAUCCGAAUCCGAAUGAAUCCACUGGAGACCAAAGCCGAAUAGAUUCAGGAAGAUUAGUUGGAGACGCCAAAAAGUGUACUGACAAAACGGAGAUAGGACGAGAAGGACAUUAGUCCAAAACUGGGACAACACCGGCGCCUUGGCGCCCCGACCAAGACACAACGACUCCCUAAAACUAGCCUAAACCAAGACACCCAUGCCAAUGUACGCCAAAUCCGGACUUCAUUCUUCACUUGAUACUUUCCAAGAUCUCCGUGAAAGGAACAUUUGAUUGGUAACUGCGUCUUAUUUGAUUUUAGGUUGCCCUAUUCUACAUAGUAAAAUAUAAAAAAUAUUGGAUUGUUAUGUACAUUGUUCGUUUCGUCAAACAUUAUUAACUAUCCGUGGGAACGCAUGUGUAUUAUGCUAGUAAAUACAAAUGAGCAGUGGAUAGGGGCGAUUCCGGUUCAUGCAUUACACGGUUGGAAGUAGAACCUGCCAUAUUAAUCAGCAAUAUGUGUAAUAUUGAUAUAAGCUAUAAUGUUGACAAACACACAAGCGGGGAUAGCUCAGUUGGGAGAGCGUCAGACUGAAGAUCUGAAGGUCGCGUGUUCGAUCCACGCUCACCGCAAUACGUUUCUUUUUAUUUAGACUACAUAUUUUUUUAGUUACAAAGAAAAGAAACUGAGUUCUCUGCAACUCUUUCUGUUCUUACAUCCCUGUAAACUCUAGAAGUAAUUUCAGAGCAGUAGUCUUCAGACUUUAAAAAAAAAAUCAUACUAUUGAUUUCCUUUCUUUUUUAUGAGCUCUCAGAGCCAUAAUUUCUUGUGUAAAGACUGGAACCUGAAAGAGAGAGCAGACUAACUGCCAUGAUCAUGCACAUCGAAACUGUAACAGGGGAGUAGCAAUAGUCCAAUAUCCUUUCAUUCUUUUCGACCAAUAAACGGCGAACCCCAAGAGGCCACAAUAUCAAACCCUCGUCACCACAGACUAAAUACAAAAACUCAAGUCAAUUGUCAUCAAAGCUAUGAGCAUGCCAUAAUCUCUCAACAUUGCACCGCCCUCGUCAUAACUUUGUUUCACAUUUCUCCAGUUACAACCAUACAUUUAUCCUACAGCUACCCCCGACUAUUUCCACCUUUCUCGUCUCGUCGAGUUACAGUCAGCAUACAAAAUACAUCCGAGCAACUGGAGAGUGCUCU